GGUGGGAUAGAGUUGCCAUCGAAAAGCGGAAGUCCCCACCCAGCCUGGCAGGAACUUCCGGCUGCGAUUGCUCGGGUCUUCUGUAGCCUGAGUGGGGCCGCGGAGCCGAGAUGGUUCUGCUGGAGAGUGAGCAGUUCCUGACGGAGCUGACCAGGCUCUUCCAGAAGUGCCGGCUGUCGGGCAGCGUGUUCAUCACCCUCAAGAAGUGGUGCGUUUUCCUUGCAGACGAUGGCCGAACUAAACCCAUUCCGAGGAAGGGCUCAGUGGAGGGCUUCGAGCCCUCAGACAACAAGUGUCUGUUAAGAGCAACUGAUGGGAAAAAGAAGAUUAGCACAGUGGUGAGCUCCAAAGAAGUGAAUAAGUUUCAGAUGGUGAGUUUCUGCUGUUAUGUCCCUUUCUCAGGGCAAGCCAGCAUAACAUUGAACACUGGUUCUUUAGAUUACACGAGAUUUACAUCAGUGAUAACAAGCUUGUACCCCAAUACUGCUGACACUGAGCAAAAAAGCCCUGGCCUCUGAGGAAACUACUUUGACAGCAUGGACAGACGCCAUCCUCAAAAGGUUAAAGAAAGUAACUUACAGCCAAAAUUUCAAUUUCACUGCUUUUCUGAUCUCACCUUCGACAGCCUUGGACACUAACGCACCUGAGUCUCAUAUCGCCGCUUAGUGCUGGCUGACAGCUUCUCCGGGGCUAUCACAGUCACAGUGGGGACAACGGCUGCUCCAUGGAUUUCAAACAGACCUGAAACAGAGAGAGCUUCACAAUCAGGCCUUCUCUGGUCCUAUGUUCUCUAACACCGAGAGGACGGAGAAUAUUAAUAGGAUCCCUCUGGGGUGACUCAAUGGAGCCAGAUGAUGUCUGGGCCUUGUUUUCUGUCUCUGCAACUGCCUGCAAUUGCCCAGGGAGAACCCAGAACCUCAACACCCAGCAGUCUGGAGCUUCCGUCAAAACCAACAGCCUUCUCUCCUCAGGUGGGCGUGGGAGUGACAAAAACAAAGGGAGGCGAUAUGAGUCACCCAAACCUCAUGUACCCAUGAAAAAAACAAAACAUUAUCUCUGAGAUUAACAGUCCUUAAAUCUCUCAAAGUAUUUGAAAUCUGAUGGUGACAGAGAGUCAAUGCUAACAGAAAUGAACCAAAAAGAUCCAAUUCUGUUAAAAGCCAAA